rnacentral:lncRNA from 1 species
GGCCAGGAGCAGCAGUGGCAGACCAUCUGGAUGCAAUCAAGCCUGCAAUGACCUCAUGGGGAGAAGGGGGGAGCCCCCAGAACUGAGAGCUUUGGGCCUCGCUCUCACUGAUGAGGGAGGGAGAGGAGCUGUGUGGGGAUGAGACACGGAGCAUUUAGUGAAGUGAGAAGUAUGAAAAUGGAUGAGUCAGGACAGAGGGGAGAAGCAAGCUGCCAUCCUCGACUCACUUGGACUCAAAACUUUGAGAGAACCAGCCUGAGGAGAGCCAAAGCAGAAGCUGAAGAAGAGCUCCCAUUCCCCAAGUCCAUGGGCUCCAAGUGCAGCCUUGCUUGGAAAGGCAGGGACAGCAGCAUGUGGCAAGACAGUCUCACUCUGUCACCCAGUGGCACGAUCUCAGCUCACUACAACCUCUGCCUCCCAGGUUCAAGCGAUUCUCCUGCCUAAGCCUCCUGAGUAGCUGUGAUUACAGGUGCGUGCCACCACACUUGGCUGAUUUUUUGUAUUUUUAGUAGAGACAGGGUUUCACCGUGUUAGCCAGGAUGGUCUCGAUCUCCUGACCUCGUGAUCCGCCUGCCUCGGCCUCCCAAAGUGCUGGGAUUACAGGCGUGAGCCACCAUGCCCGACUUAAACCAACUUCUAUUACAUUCCAAGGUCCAUAACCUUUUUACUAUACUCCCCAGUAAACAUUUUGUUGAAAGAAAAAAAAAAAACAAUGAAUGA